rnacentral:rRNA from 1 species
AUUAGCGGCGGACGGGUGAGUAACACGUGAGUAACCUGCCUUAGACAUUGGGAUAGCCUCGGGAAACCGGGAUUAAUACCAAAUAAAAUCAUAAUGACACAUGUCAUAACGAUCAAAACUCCGGUGGUCUAAGAUGGACUCGCGUCCCAUUAGCUAGUUGGUAGAGUAAAAGCCUACCAAGGCGACGAUGGAUAGCCGGCCUGAGAGGGUGAACGGCCACAUUGGAACUGAGAAACGGUCCAA